CAGCCGCCACGGUAAUACGAAGGGGGCUAGCGUUGUUCGGAUUUACUGGGCGUAAAGCGCACGUAGGCGGACUUUUAAGUCAGGGGUGAAAUCCCGGGGCUCAACCCCGGAACUGCCUUUGAUACUGGAAGUCUUGAGUAUGGUAGAGGUGAGUGGAAUUCCGAGUGUAGAGGUGAAAUUCGUAGAUAUUCGGAGGAACACCAGUGGCGAAGGCGGCUCACUGGACCAUUACUGACGCUGAGGUGCGAAAGCGUGGGGAGCAAACAGGAUUAGAUACCCCCGUAGUCCCUGUCUCUUAUAC
rnacentral:rRNA from 1 species